CAGCACCUCAAGUGGUCAGGAUGAUUAUUGGGCCUAAAGCAUCCGUAGCCGGCGCUGUAAGUUUUCGGUUAAAUCUGUACGCUCAACGUACAGGCUGCCGGGAAUACUGCAGCGCUAGGGAGCGGGAGAGGUAGACGGUACUCGGUAGGAAGGGGUAAAAUCCUUUGAUCUAUUGAUGACCACCUGUGGCGAAGGCGGUCUACCAGAACACGUCCGACGGUGAGGGAUGAAAGCGUGGGGAGCAAACAGGAUUAGAUACCCUGGUAGUCC
rnacentral:rRNA from 1 species